UUUUCAGAGAGGACUCAUAAAUAAGCUGGCUGUAGAGGACUCUGGAGACAGUGUUAAGGAGGAGACACCAUAAGCUCUGUCCUCCUGUCCUUUCUUACCACACCAUGUGGAAGAACAGAUAUGCUCAGCUGUACCUUUUUUCAGUUCUUCUUGCCUUCCUGCCUUCUGCAUCUUCACUCAAUGGAGACCCGAAGUAUAUGGUGCUGGUCCCUUCUCAGCUCUACACUGAGACCCCUGAGAAAAUCUGCUUCCAUCUAUACCAUCUGAAUGAGACAGUGACCGUCACAGCUUCCUUGGUGUCUCAAUCAAGAUGGAGAAACCUGUUCGAUGAGCAUAUCACAGAUUUCUUGGUAUCUCAAUUGGAAAGGAGAAACCUGUUCGAUGAGCUUGUGGUUGACAAGGACUUGUUCCAAUGUGUUUCCUUCAUUAUCCCUACACUCAACUCUCCUGAUGAGGAGGAGUUUCUCUACGUGGACAUCAAAGGGCCAACCCACGAAUUCAGCAAAAGGAAAGCAGUGCUUGUGAAGAACAAAGAAAGUGUUGUCUUUGUCCAGACAGAUAAGCCCGUGUACAAACCAGGACAAUCAGUUAAAUUUCGGGUUGUCUCUAUGGAUAAAACUCUACACCCCCUGAAUGAGUUGCUCCCUCUGGCUUACAUUGAGGAUCCGAAAAAGAACCGAAUUAUGCAGUGGAGGGAUAUUAAGACUGAGAAUGGGCUUAAGCAAAUGUCCUUCAGCCUGGCAGCAGAGCCCAUUCAGGGCCCCUACAAGAUAGUGGUGCACAAACAGUCAGGGGAGAUGGAAGAACACUCCUUUACUGUGUUGGAAUUUGGUAUGAAUUGGGAAGACCAUCAAGAAAAAGCAAGUCUCAGGAUUCUGGUUAUCAUAGGAUGAAUUACUUUGUACAAAUUGAGUUCCAUCUGACUCUAGCUAAGGCUAUCCAUCUAGCAACAUGGGAAUUCUAGAAAGUUCUGGGAUUUUUCAAAAGCAAAUUACUUGUUUUAUUUUGUUUUUUUGUUUGUUCAUUUUUUUUACUUAAGUAGAUAUCCCUGUGAUUUUCAAGAAGUGAUAUAAUGUAUAGCCACUCAUCAUUCUAACUUUAUUGGGAUGGGUCAUGCCUUAAUAAUGUGAAAUGACCAUUUCUGGGCAGAGAGUGAUCACUUAGGCAACUAGACAAUUAGGUCCACUCCUGAGUGUCUCCUCUCUCUCACAAUAGUGCUUCCCAGAUUUAAUGUCGACCUGAAGGUUCCAAAUGCCAUCUCUGUGAAUGAUGAAGUGCUCCAAGUGACUGCAUGUGGGAAGUGAGUUGCUGGCUUCUGUACUUCUAUCCUUAAGAAAGUACUCAGACACA